GGCUCGUUGGUCUAGGUGUAUGAUUCUUGCUUAGGGUGCUAGAGGUCCUGGUUUCAAAUCCCGGAUGAGCCC